AUUCUACUCCCUCCAUUGCACAAUACAUGCCUUCUAUUUGUAAAUAUAUAUAUGUAUCUAGACAUGUUUUAGUAUAUAGGUACAUCCAUUUUUGGACAAAUGGAAGUCAAGUAUUUUGGAAUGGAGGAAGUACACA
rfam:Triticum aestivum genome assembly, contig: Triticum_aestivum_CS42_TGACv1_scaffold_514696_6BS